GAAAAGAUGACAUAAAGCCAGAAUCGUUUAGAAUACUUAGGGUAAGAUAAGAUGUAAGUAAGUAGAUGGUUUAGAGAAUUAUAAGAUAAAAUCAAAAUUUGGUAAUAGACAAUUGAAUAAUGAAAAACAGAAAUUCUUCCAGCUGAAUUAGAUUAAAUGUUUUGGCAGUCUUAAAAUAUGUCCAAAAUUAUUUGACAGUUUUUUCAAGGAUAGAGACUAAUUUUCUUUCCUGAGAUUGUGUUGGACUUAGUGACUCAUUUAUAAUGAGCAGGAUAAAACAGAACCAAUUGUGAUUCCUGAGGUUAGGUCAUAAAAGACAGAGGGCUCUGUCUUGCUAUGCUUUUUGGAUCCAUUGCCCUUGGGGAUAUCAGUUGCCAGAUGUCUUAGGAAAAGGUAUGUGUUGCAAGGAACCAUGGUUGUGCAAAUGAGCCAGCUUAGGAGAAGAUCCUCGGCCCCAGUCAAGCCUUCAGAAGACCUUGAGCCACAGCCACCAGAACCCAGCUCAGUGCACCUUGGUUUGGCAGAGAGCAGCUUAGUGUUGGAUAAAUGACAAGAUCAUAACAGUGUAUUGAUUGAGUUCUCUGAUUUUCCUGAACUUGUUGCUUUUCUGAAACCUGAGUGUGAUGCAGGUACUGCAUUGUUACUUUAAUAAAGAGCUAACACAUUCGAGUAAAAUUCUAAAGAAAUUGUUGGAAACUCUUAAAAGUUGAUUUUCAGUUAUAAAUCCUAAACAAACCAGAAUUGAAUGGCCAACUGGUUUCAUUGCUAAAGAUGAUAUGUUUAAUGAUUUUUUAAAAAUGUACUUUUCCUGUAGCUUCCCUUAGUACUUCUACCU
rnacentral:lncRNA from 1 species